AUGCUUCUAAAUACUGAAUUUGUUAAUCUCAUGUCUGAGUCAGUCUUUAAACAAGCUGUAUUAAGCUGAUGUAAUCUAUGCUGAAUGACAUUUUUCUAUUUUGUAUAUACUUACUUAACUAUUAGGUUUUUUACAUUGAUCUAUUUAUGCUUGUGUUUGGUACACUGGUUUAUAAGUUUCAACACUUUUAGGCUCGAUUUGUUGAUUGUAAAAUAUUUCUUAACUGCCAAGGAGGCCUGGAAUUAAGCAUCUUUGAGUUUUGUGACUUGAGUUUUGUUUUAGAACCGGAGAGACCUGAGCAAGCCGAUAAAAUGGCUAUACUUGAUGAUGCUAUCAGAGUUUAAGCUGAAGAACUCAAACAAACUAAUGAAAAAUUGUUAGAAGAAAUAAAAUGUUCUAAUAUGAUAUUGUAAGGCAGCCACUUUGAAAAGAUAUCCAGCACAGUUGUUCCUUACUACAUGGAUGUGCUUUGUUGGAGCAGCACAAUCAGCUGUUUUCACAGUCUUAAUUAUAGGGCAUAAACCUUCAGCUUGGACUAUAGGGUUCAACAUUGACCUGUGGUCCACAUUAUAUGGUGGAAUUGUGAUAGCCGGUUUGAUAAUAUACAUUCAGCUGUGGUGCACUGAGAAAAAGGGGCCAGUCUUCGUUACAAUGACUACCCCCGUUUGUACCAUUCUUGCUGCAAUUUUAGCAUACUUUGUCUUUGGUGAGAAACUUGGGGCCAGUCUUCGUUACAAUGACUACCCCCGUUUGUACCAUUCUUGCUGCAAUUUUAGCAUACUUUGUCUUUGGUGAGAAACUUUACCUCGGCAGCAUUAUAGGCGCAACUUUUGUCAUCAUUGGUCUAUACUUGCUGUUGUGGGGCAAAGAAGGCGACCAAAAGAUUCAUGUCAACACCAAACCGUGCAAUGGUGAAGAUUCAAAAUACAUACUACAAUCUACAAUCAGUACCUUAGACUUGAAAGGGAGAAAUGCAAAUCCAAGUAGAGGAAAAGUAAAACGAAUAAGUCAUUAAAACGUUUAGUUUUGUGUAAUAUAUACAGUUUAAGAUUUCCAAUUUUAACUCUAUCAAAUCUGCAUCAAGUUAACUUUAUUAUAAAAUUUUUAUAAUCUCCAUUUUUACAUUUUACACAAUUGAAAUAUGUAUUAUAUAAAGGUAUCAUCUUAGAAUUUUGAGAAUAUCCUUUUCAAAAUUCAAAAGGAAUUUGUGACAACA